rnacentral:rRNA from 1 species
UACGAGGGGGGCAAGCGUUGUUCGGAAUUAUUGGGCGUAAAGGGUGCGUAGGCGGUCUGACAAGUCUGAUGUGAAAUCUAUGGGCUCAACCCAUAGUCUGCAUCGGAAACUGUCGGGCUUGAGUAUGGGAGAGGUGAGUGGAAUUUCCGGUGUAGCGGUGAAAUGCGUAGAGACCCGGAGGAACACCAGUGGCGAAGGCGGCUUCCUGGUCUGCGACUGACGCUGUGGCGCGAAAGCUAGGGGAGCAAACGGG